AGAAGAAUAGACGUCUUACUCCCUCUUCUUCUUCUUACUGAGUAAGUUGCGCUAAUAUCGGCCAUUUUUGAUCAGAGAUGAUGAUAUAUGUAUGACUGUGAUUACUUAUAUUAUAUGUCUACAACUCGUGCAACACUGAGACUAUCGAUCCUAACCUUAAAGCACGUCAAUGGAUUUUCCAUUACAUAUUAGCGUUAAGCUCGUAGGCCGUUCCUAAGGCGGCAUAGUUUGCGUGUUUUAAAUAUCCACGCAUCCAUUAUCUACAAAGUGGAACUGUAGUUUGACAGUAAACCUCAACUAGGAUUGGCAUGAAAACGUUUGAAGCCUCUUUUUGGAUAAUAUGUUCACCAUUUGCCAAAGUGCUGCUUAUUAAAAUCUGUUUUUCCUGGGGACUGGUCAGCCUUCCUCGGAUCAUCAAGCGUGUUCAACAUUCAAUGUCAAAGUGAAUACUCCCAAGAUUACCUCGAAGGUCAGUGCAUUCGACACCCCCCCCCCACCCCCCGGGGGGUACGGUUCUUGCCCGGUCGGUGGCGUGUUCAGAAUGGGAGCUUCUUAAUUAGGCCUCUGAUGCUCCAAUCAAGAUGUAAUGACGGCCAUGUCUCUGCAGAGGUGAGCUGACUGUUUAGUAAUCCACCCCCCCCCCAA